rnacentral:rRNA from 1 species
AUUGAACGCUGGCGGCAUGCCUUACACAUGCAAGUCGAACGGCAGCACGGGUGCUUGCACCUGGUGGCGAGUGGCGAACGGGUGAGUAAUACAUCGGAACAUGUCCUGUAGUGGGGGAUAGCCCGGCGAAAGCCGGAUUAAUACCGCAUACGAUCUACGGAUGAAAGCGGGGGCCCUUCGGGCCUCGCGCUAUAGGGUUGGCCGAUGGCUGAUUAGCUAGUUGGUGGGGUAAAGGCCUACCAAGGCGACGAUCAGUAGCUGGUCUGAGAGGGCGACCAGCCACACUGGAACUGAGACACGGCCCAGACUCCUACGGGAGGCAGCAGUGGGGAAUUUUGGACAAUGGGCGAAAGCCUGAUCCAGCAAUGCCGCGUGUGUGAAGAAGGCCUUCGGGUUGUAAAGCACUUUUGUCCGGAAAGAAAUCCUUGGCCCUAAUACGGUCGGGGGAUGACGGUACCGGAAGAAUAAGCACCGGCUAACUACGUG